UACGUAGGGUGCAAGCGUUUGUCCGGAAUUAUUGGGCGUAAAGAGCUCGUAGGCGGUUUGUCGCGUCUGCCGUGAAAGUCCGGGGCUCAACUCCGGAUCUGCGGUGGGUACGGGCAGACUAGAGUGAUGUAGGGGAGACUGGAAUUCCUGGUGUAGCGGUGAAAUGCGUAGAGAUGCGGAGGAACACCGAUGGCGAAGGCAGCCCCCCUGGGCUGACACUGACGCUCAGGCACGAAAGCGUGGGGAGCAAACAGG
rnacentral:rRNA from 1 species